rnacentral:rRNA from 1 species
CCUACGGGUGGCAGCAGUGGGGAAUAUUGCACAAUGGGGGAAACCCUGAUGCAGCAACGCCGCGUGAAGGAAGACGGUUUUCGGAUUGUAAACUUCUGUUCUUAGUGAAGAAUAAUGACGGUAGCUAAGGAGCAAGCCACGGCUAACUACGUGCCAGCAGCCGCGGUAAUACGUAGGUGGCAAGCGUUGUCCGGAAUUACUGGGUGUAAAGGGAGCGCAGGCGGGAAGCCAAGUCAGCUGUGAAAACUACGGGCUUAACUUGUAGACUGCAGUUGAAACUGGUUUUCUGGAGUGAAGUAGAGGUUGGCGGAAUUCCGAGUGUAGCGGUGAAAUGCGUAGAUAUCACGCAGAACCCCGAUUGCGAAGGCAGCAUGCCGGCUUCCUACUGACGCUGCAGCACGAAAGCGUGGGGAUCGAACAGGAUUAGAUACCCUUGUAGUC